rnacentral:rRNA from 1 species
UGGGGAAUUUUGGACAAUGGGCGAAAGCCUGAUCCAGCCAUGCCGCGUGUGUGAAGAAGGUCUUCGGAUUGUAAAGCACUUUAAGUUGGGAGGAAGGGCCAUUACCUAAUACGUGAUGGUUUUGACGUUACCGACAGAAUAAGCACCGGCUAACUCUGUGCCAGCAGCCGCGGUAAUACAGAGGGUGCAAGCGUUAAUCGGAAUUACUGGGCGUAAAGCGCGCGUAGGUGGUUUGUUAAGUUGGAUGUGAAAUCCCCGGGCUCAACCUGGGAACUGCAUUCAAAACUGACAAGCUAGAGUAUGGUAGAGGGUGGUGGAAUUUCCUGUGUAGCGGUGAAAUGCGUAGAUAUAGGAAGGAACACCAGUGGCGAAGGCGACCACCUGGACUGAUACUGACACUGAAGUGCGAAAGCGUGGGGAGCAAACAGGAUUAGAUACCCGUGUAGUCCCUGAGCGGGCUGGCAAGGCGCAU